rnacentral:rRNA from 1 species
CACGUAGGGGGCGAGCGUUGUCCGGAUUCAUUGGGCGUAAAGGGCGCGCAGGCGGCUCGGAAAGUCGGGUGUGAAAACUCGGGGCUCAACCCCGGGCGUGCAUCCGAUACUGCCGGGCUUGAGGCAGGUAGGGGAGAUCGGAAUUCCUGGUGUAGCGGUGAAAUGACGCAGAUAUCAGGAGGAACACCGGUGGCGAAGGCGGAUCUCUAGUACGGUACUGACGCUGAGACGCGAAAGCGUGGGGAGCGAACAGG